rnacentral:piRNA from 1 species
GACACAGCACAGUGUGGCCGCCCGCAGUU